GGUGUUUCCUUUCCUUUUCCUUUUUGAAUGUGCAACCUUGGUCUUAUCUUUUUUUUGUUUAUUUGGUCUUCAGCCACAGCUACCAUCUUGAAGUUACAAUUCUCUGGAUCGAUCAUUCAAGCUACCCGUCUUCCAACCAUUCUUCUUCCAAAUUGCAAAUGGCUUCUUCUUCAACCAGUCUCUCAGUAGCUUCUUCCUCUUCCACCCAUCCAUGGAAGUAUGAAGUCUUCCUUAGUUUCAGAGGAGAAGACACCCGCAAAAGCUUUACUGAUCAUCUUCACAAGGCGCUUCGUCGAUAUGGAAUCCACGCUUUCAUAGAUGACCAACUCAGGAGAGGCGAACAAAUAUCUUCAGCACUCCUAAGGGCAAUUGAAGAAUCAAGGUUUUCCAUCAUCAUUUUCUCCGAACACUAUGCUUCUUCAAGUUGGUGUUUGGAUGAACUUACAAAGAUUCUUCAGUGUGUCAAAGAGGGAAGACAUACAGCUUUUCCUGUUUUCUAUAAUGUAGAUCCCUCUCAUGUAAGAAAACAAAAAGGGAGUUAUGGAGUAGCAUUUACAAAGCAUGAACAAGUUUACAGGGACAACAUGGAGAAAGUGGUCGAGUGGAGAAAAGCUCUAACUGUGGCAUCCAAUCUUUCUGGAUGGGAUUCACGAGAUAAACAUGAAUCCGAGGUUAUUAAGGAAAUUGUUUCCAAGAUCUGGAAAGAACUGAAUGAUGCAUCCUCAUGCAACAUGGAGGCUCUAGUUGGAAUGGCUUCUCAUAUACAGAACAUGGUUUCAUUAUUACGUAUUGGGUCAGAUGAUGUUCGGAUGGUAGGAAUUUGGGGCAUGGCUGGCAUAGGUAAGACUACCAUUGCUGAGGCUGUUUAUCAGAAAAUUCACACUCAAUUUGAAGGUUGUUGCUUUCUUUCAAAUGUUGGAGAAAAAUCACAAAACAAUGAUCCAGCUGAUAUGCAAAUGGAACUCCUUUCACAAAUUUUUUGGGAAGGAAAUCUAAAUACAAGAAUUUUCAAUAGAGGAAUCAAUGCUAUAAAAAACACGCUCCACUCCAUGAAGGUCCUUAUUGUUCUUGACGAUGUGGAUUGUCCACAACAAUUGGAGGUUUUAGCUGGAAAUCAUAACUGGUUUGGUUUAGGAAGUAGAAUUAUCAUAACAACCAGAGACAAACAUUUGCUAGAUGAGAAAGUUAAAAUAUAUGAAGUUAAGGAAUUAAACAAUGAUAAAGCUUGUAUGCUCUUUUGUCAACAUGCCUUUAAAUAUGAGCCUCCUACAGAAGAUUUUGUACAGCUACGUGACCAUGCCCUAAAUUAUACAAAGGGCAAUCCCUUAGCCCUUAAAAUCUUGGGUUGUCUUCUAUACAAUAGAAGCAAAGCGGAAUGGGAGGGUGAAUUGGAAAAACUCAGAAGAAUUCCAAACAAAAAGAUUCAAGAUGUGCUCAAAAUAAGUUUUGAUAGAUUAGAGGAGAAUCAAAAGAGUGUAUUUCUCGACUUGGCAUGCUUCUUUAAAGGGCAAGACAAAGAUUACGUCACAAACGUAUUGAAAAGUUGUGAUUUCUUUCCAGCAAUUGAGAUACCUAUUCUUAGAGAGAGGUCUCUCACAACUAUUGAUUCAUAUAAUAAGGUGUGCAUGCAUGAUUUGAUACAAGAAAUGGGAUGCGAAAUUCUUCGGCAAGAAUCUAUCCCCGGCAAACGCAGUAGGUUGUGGGUUAAUGAGGAUGUCAUCCAUGUAUUAACAACAAAUACAGGGACUGAAGCAGUUGAAGGCAUAGUCCUUGACUUGUCUACUUUAAAAGAGCUACACUUCAGUGUUGAUGUCUUUAGAAAGAUGAACAGAUUAAGAAUACUCAGAUUCUGUAAUGCACAAAUACGUGAUAGCUGGGAUUAUGCUUGGAAAUGGGGAAACUAUGAUUGGUAUAAAUAUCAGUACCCUAAAUGUAAAUUGCAUCUAUAUGGGGAUUUUAAAUUUCUAUCCAACAACUUAAGAUCUCUCUACUGGGAUGGAUACCCUUUGAAGUCCCUUCCAUCAAAUUUUCAUCCUGAGAAGCUUGUUGAGUUAAAAAUGUGCUUUAGUCAGCUUGAACGACUAUGGGAAGGAAACAAGUCUUUCCAGAAUUUGAAGUUCGUCGAACUUUGCCACUCUCAACAUCUAAUCAAAACUCCAGACUUCUCUGGAGCUCCAAACCUCAGGAGAAUAUUUCUUGUUGGCUGUAGAAGCUUGGUCCUGGUUCACCCAUCCAUUGGAGCUCUCAAGAAGCUUAUUUGCCUGAAUUUAGAAGGUUGCAAGAACCUCAAUAGUUUCUUGAGCAGCAUCCAUAUGGAGUCUCUUCAAAAUCUUAAUCUCUCUGGCUGCUCAAAACUGAAGAAAUUUCCAGAGGUGCAGGGAGCCAUGGAUAAUUUAUCAGAGCUUUCUUUAAAAGGGACUGCUAUAAAAGGAUUGCCAUUGUCCAUUGAAUAUCUCAAUGGACUUGCUUUAUUAAAUCUGGGAGAGUGCAAAAGCCUUGAUUCAUUACCGAGCUUCAUUUUUAAGUUGAAGUCCCUGAAAACUCUUAUUCUUUCAAACUGCUCCAGACUGAAGAAGCUUCCAGAGAUAGGGGAAAAUAUGGAGAGUUUGAAAGAGCUUUUUCUAGAUGACACUGGUCUAAGAGAGCUACCUUCAUCAAUCGAGCAUCUAAAUGGGCUUGUUUUGUUGAAGCUGAAAAAUUGUAAAAAACUUGCAAGUCUUCCGGAAAGCAUUUGUAAGCUGACGUCUCUUCAGACUCUUACUCUCUCUGGUUGUUCAGAACUGAAGAAAUUGCCAGAUGACAUGGGGAGCCUACAAUGUUUAGUAAAGCUCAAAGCAAAUGGAACUGGUAUACAAGAGGUACCCACCUCUAUUACUCUUUUGACAAAGCUUGAAGUAUUAUCAUUAGCAGGAUGCAAGGGAGGGGAAUCUAAGUCAAGGAAUCUGGCUUUAUCUUUGCGCGCAUCACCAACAGAUGGAUUGCGUCCGUCUUUUUUGCCUGUUCUAUGCCCCUUGAAAAAGUUGAAUUUAAGUGACUGCAACCUAUUGGAAGGAGGCCUACCCAGUGAUCUUAGCUCCUUAUCUUGGUUGGAAUGUUUAGAUCUGAGUAGAAACAGUUUCAUCACCGUGCCUAGCCUCAGUCGACUUCCUCGACUCAAUAGGCUCAUAUUGGAACACUGCAAGAGUCUUCGAUCUUUGCCAGAGCUUCCAUCAAGUAUUGAAGAAUUAGUGGCCAAUGAUUGCACAUCCCUGGAAACCAUUUCAAAUCCAUCAAGUGCAUAUGCAUGGAGGAAGUCCACAUUUUUCUACUUUGAAUUUUCUAAUUGCUUCCGACUAGUGGAGAAUGAGCAGCGUGACAAUGUGGAAGCUAUCCUGUUGGGACCUUGUCUUGUUUCAUCAAGACCCCAAUACAUGGCUCUAAGUGAUCUUCUUGCCGCUCACAGGCGGGGUCUAUCUAUUUUCUAUGACGCUGUUGUUCCUGGGAGUAGCAUUCCAGAGUGGUUCACCCAUCAGAGCCUGGGGUGUUCAGUAACUGUAGAGCUGCCUCCACAUUGCUGUAGUACCAGGUUGAUGGGAUUGGCUGUUUGUGUUGUUUUCCACCCAAACAUCGGCAUGGGUAAGUUCGGCCGUUCUGCAUAUUUUAGUAUGAACGAAUCUGGAGGCUUCUCUCUCCACAACACGACUUCCACGCAUUUUUCAAAAGCUGACAACAUCUGGUUUGGGUAUCGACCCCUUUUUGGAAAGGUUUUCAGCCCGAGCAUCGAUCACCUGAAGGUUUCCUUUGCUGGAUUCAAUCGUGCCUGCGAAGUGGUGAAAAAGUGUGGGGCUCGUCUGGUAUUUAGGCAAGAUGAACCAUGUGGCCGGGAGGAGGAGAUGAACCAUGUAAUUGAAGGUAGUGAUAUGUGGACGAUCACGUUCUUCAGUCCGAGAAAUGGGAGACACAGAUGGGAGGUCGAAGUAAGGUGCUGCAGAAGUAGUCUCCAAACAUGAUGGUACAGCUGCACCCAAAAUUCUAAGGCAUGCAAAGAAUUGGAUGGAGGCAAAAGUUAGUGGGAAAGUUGGCAUUAAGGUUCUCUGCUUUCACACCAAGUCCAUCUUCUCUCUCCCAUUUCACUCCCUUGAAGUCGAUUUCUCUAUCAUUUUUCACUGCAUGAAGAAAUGGUUUCUCUCUACUCUUAUACUCUCUCUGGUUGCUCAGAACUGAAGAAAUUGCCAGAUGACAUCGGGAGCCUAAAUGUUUAGUAAAGCUCGAAGCAAAUGGAAUUGGUAUACAAGAGGUACCCACCUCUAUUACUCUUUUGACAAAGCUUCAAGUAUUAUCAUUAGCAGGAUGCAAGGCAGGGGAAUCCAAGUCAAGGAAUCUGGUUUUAUCUUUGCGCUCAUCACCUACAGAACGAUUGCCACUGCCUUCUUUGUCGAGUCUAUGCUCCUUGAAAAUGUUGAUGAAUAAGUGACUGCAACCUAUUGGAAGGAGCCCUACCCAGUGAUCUUGGCUCCUUAUCUUCAUUGGAACGUUUAGAUCUGACAAGAAACAGUUUCAUUGCCGUGCCUUGUAGCCUCAAAAGGCUCACACUGGAACAACACUGCAAGAGUCUUCAAUCAUUGCCAGAGUUUCCAUCAAGUAUUCAAGAUUUAUGGGCCAAUGAGUGCACAUCCCUGGGAACUUUUUCAAAUCCAUGAAGUGCAUAUGCAUUGAAGGAGUCAAGAUUCAACUUCUAUUUCUGUAAUUGCUUCCGACUAGCUGGGAAUGAGCAGAGUGACAGUGUGGAAGCUAUCCUACUGGAAAUAUUAUUUCUCUACAUGCAUGCCUCCAACUUUUCCGUGAUUCCUGAUAACCCUGGUCUAUCUACUCAGUAUAACGCUGUUGUUCCUGGAAGUAGCAUUCCAGAGUGGUUCAUCCAUCAGAGCGCAGGGUGUUUAGUACCUGUAGAGCUGCCUCCACAUUGGUAUAACACCAAGUUGAUGGGAUUGGCUGUUUGUGCUGUUUUCAACGCACACAUCACCAUGGGUGAGUUGGAUGAGUUUGGUUUUAGUGUGAAUGAAUCUGGCAGCUUCUAUAUCGAUGACACGGCUUCCAUGCAUUUUUCAAAAGCCGACCACAUCUGGUUUGGUUAUCGACUACUUGUCGACCUCUUUGGGGCUCUGGUGGAAACCAGAGCAACACUGUGAAGGUUUCAUUUUCUAUAUAUAUAUAUAUAUAUAAUUGUUUGUUAAGAAUAUAAAAACUACAGGUCAUGAUAUUUUUCAA